rnacentral:rRNA from 1 species
GAUGAACGCUGGCGGCGUGCCUAAUACAUGCAAGUCGAGCGAACGGACGAGAAGCUUGCUUCUCUGAUGUUAGCGGCGGACGGGUGAGUAACACGUGGAUAACCUACCUAUAAGACUGGGAUAACUUCGGGAAACCGGAGCUAAUACCGGAUAAUAUUUUGAACCGCAUGGUUCAAAAGUGAAAGACGGUCUUGCUGUCACUUAUAGAUGGAUCCGCGCUGCAUUAGCUAGUUGGUAAGGUAACGGCUUACCAAGGCAACGAUGCAUAGCCGACCUGAGAGGGUGAUCGGCCACACUGGAACUGAGACACGGUCCAGACUCCUACGGGAGGCAGCAGUAGGGAAUCUUCCGCAAUGGGCGAAAGCCUGUCGGAGCAACGCCGCGUGAGUGAUGAAGGUCUUCGGAUCGUAAAACUCUGUUAUUAGGGAAGAACAUAUGUGUAAGUAACUGUGCACAUCUUGACGGUACAUAAUCAGAAAGCCACGGCUAACUACGUG